rnacentral:rRNA from 1 species
GACGUAGGGUGCGAGCGUUGUCCGGAUUUAUUGGGCGUAAAGAGCUCGUAGGCGGCUCGUCGCGUCGACCGUGAAAACCCGCAGCUUAACUGCGGGCUUGCGGUUGAUACGGGCGGGCUAGAGUUCGGUAGGGGAGACUGGAAUUCCUGGUGUAGCGGUGGAAUGCGCAGAUAUCAGGAGGAACACCGGUGGCGAAGGCGGCUCACUGGUCCAUUACUGACGCUGAGGUGCGAAAGCGUGGGGAGCAAACAGG